GCACAUAACAAUCCUCUAUAACAAUACAUUUGGCGAUGUAAAUGCUGACAUCGGAGAACAAUUCAAGUGGAUCGUAACAGUAAAAUGCACUAAUGAAUGUUCUAUCAGUUGGUAUCACGAUGGUAAAGAGAUUCGAUCAGAAAACAGUCCAAUUUCAGAGAAAUAUAACACCACGUCAGAUAUUCAUCACCGUCAUAGUGGGACAAAGA